rnacentral:lncRNA from 1 species
AUUUCUGCGGUGCUGGCAGAGUUGAGAUGGGGGUGGGGUAAACUAUAAAGUUUAGAUGAGUAAUCAGUGACUUUCCAGAGAAGACAUACUGUCUUGAUUUGUUCAUUUAAAUUUAAGUGAGUCUGAAGUGAUCUCUAAGAUCCCUUUAGUUCUGUUACAGCCCCAAUCUGCCCCCAACCCCAGGAUGAUGGCAGAGAAAUGGAGCUGCCUGAGGCCCCCUUCGCAGAAGUACUGUUGAGGACUGAGAGGAAGGGAGCUGCUGGUUCUGCAAGGCAGCAAGCCAGCAAGUCCUCAAGGAUCUGGACUUCUCCACAUCCCCUCUCCUUUCCUUCCAAAAUGUGAGUAGACUGGCGGAGGGUCACCACCUGGGGUGUUGCCAGCCAGCCUGCCAGUUUGUGUUUUAGAGUUAGUGGGAGUUAACCGACAGUUGUCUGAAAGCAAAGACAGGACCUGAGGUGGGUCCUGGGGAGCAGUGUCAGUGCCAGAGCAUAGAGCAGGUGAGAAGUACUCAAAGACCAACUGCCUGUUUUAUAGGUUUUACUGAGCUCAUUUAGCCUCAGCUCCUUUGUUGGGCCUGCCUAGAAUACAAUCUACAGCCCAUUGUCUUUGCCCUUAACACACAUAGACUCUCUCAUCACACCAGCUCUUAGUUUGGCUUCUUCCAUGCACUAAUUUGGCUGACCCCAAUCCAUAGAUGCUGUAAUGUUCCUCUGUGUGUCUGGUGGGAACUACAUAUUCCUUCUCUCUGGCAUGUUCAAGCCUCAUGACUGGGCAGUAGUUCAAGUCUGGCUCUCUCAAACCAUAGAGAAAGAGAUCUUUUCCGUACCCAUGGCUCUAAGCAAACAGUGAGGGGUCCUCACCCACCCCAUAGUGCUGGCAGCAUGGUCACAUUCUCUUUCUACCUUCUCAGCCAGUGUGGCCACAGCCGUCGUUCUCUGUAGUGUCGUGACUCAGACUGGACUUUCAUCUAUACCCGACAGAGUUUGUGCACGUUUUCUGAAAUGGUUAAAUUAAGGGUUAUACAAGUCAUUACGCCAAGUCAUCAAAACAGCAAUUAACUCAAUAACCAUGACAUUAAGCCAGCUGUUACCCGGGGAAUGUAAAAUUGGAAACCAAUGCUACAGUGUGCUUGGCUCACCCAGGAGCUUCCGUGAAGCAAAACUAAGUAUAGUGAGUGUAAAUAUCGUAAAUAUUGCAGUUCAGAGGGGCAAUGGACUACUUCUCUUUUUAGGGGAGAAGAUCAUGGGGACAAAGAAAUAUUCCGAAGAAGGAAAGACAAAAGAGUAUCCAGCCAACAGUGGCCGUGUGACACAAUUUUGUCCAAUUACACGUAAACAAAAUUCUGCUGGCGGCUUUGGGGAAGAGUUUCGUUUUCUGAAUAAAGAUACAAUGAUACUAGAACCUCUUUCCCUUGCUUGUAGCCUUGAAUUCAGGUGUGAUUCCUGGAUUUUGGUGGCCAUCAUGCCACCAUGAAGUAGCAGACCUGAGCGAAAGACCAAGCAAGAGAACAGCAGACACAGCUCUGCUACCUUUGAGGUGGUGAAAUGACACUAACUAUUGACUGUAUCCAGACUUCUUUCGGGAGGAAAACAUGUUCUCAGUUGAGUCAGUGUUAGAUAGGUUUUCUGUUACUGUCACUUCAAAGCAUUCCUGGG